UUUAUAUUAAACAAAAUUGUCAUCCGACUCAUUUGUAUAUUUAUUUGUAAUCUUUAUACAGUUAAAUUAACAAGAUUUUAUACAAAUCCACCAACAAAGGACACAUUUAAAUCUGUGAGGGAUAGACUUACAAUAAUCUAAAAAACUUUUUUGGUGCUUAAAGUGGCUACCAUUAAAAGCUUGAGUGCAUGUGUAAGAACAACAUUUGACUAGAACUCUGCAAGACCAGAGUUUUCAAAUUUUUUUUUCGCCGUGAAACAACGACCAUUUAAUAAGCUUUAAAUUUUAAAAGUACUUCUCGGGGGUCGAACGGUUGGGUUUUUGUCACUCGACGGCAACACGUAUACGUCGCAGCGGUCGAGCGGCAAUGGCGUAUACUUUGGUAGUUAUUAUUACAUUAACAAUAUACGGG